rnacentral:rRNA from 1 species
GAUGAACGCUGGCGGCGUGCCUAAUACAUGCAAGUCGAGCGAACAGACGAGGAGCUUGCUCCUCUGACGUUAGCGGCGGACGGGGGAGUAACACGUGGAUAACCUACCUAUAAGACUGGGAUAACUUCGGGAAACCGGAGCUAAUACCGGAUAAUAUAUUGAACCGUAUGGUUCAAUAGUGAAAGACGGUUUUGCUGUCACUUAUAGCUGGAUCCGCGCCGCAUUAGCUAGUUGGUAAGGUAACGGCUUACCAAGGCAACGAUGCGUAGCCGACCUGAGAGGGGGAUCGGCCACACUGGAACUGAGACACGGUCCAUACUCCUACGGGAGGCAGCAGUAGGGAAUCUUCCGCAGUGGUCGAAAGCCUGACGGAGCAACGCCGCGUGAGUGAUGAAGGUCUUCGGAUCGUAAAACUCUGUUAUUAGGGAAGAACAAAUGUGUAAGUAACUAUGCACGUCUUGACGGUACCUAAUCAGAAAGCCACGGCUAACUACGUG